rnacentral:misc_RNA from 1 species
CAACUCCUUGCCCAUCACAUCUCAGGUGAGGUUUAAUCAUUUAUUUAGCCUUUAAUGCUCAAAAUCUCAGGCACAUCCAUUAUUGAUUUAUCUUGCAUUAGUUAAGCUGAUCCCAUUGAGCCAGUAAACAUGCAAAUAAUUUUAAUGUCCUCAAGCACAUCCAUUAUUGGCCACCAACUAUUUACAUAUUUACAACAUCUCAUGCUUAACAAUUAUUCUUAAGAAAAUCUCUUAAAUUAAUUGCAUCAUAUGCAAGUAUUUAAAAUUUCUUAAAAUAAUUGCCCCAAUGGAGGGCCUAUGUUAUAAUUACUUUAAUUAUAGCAUUUCCAACUUAAUCAUUUGUUUAGAAGAUUUUGCGGUCCUCCUAAUUACUAUUAUGGUCUCAC